rnacentral:rRNA from 1 species
AGUGAGCGCUGGCGGUAGGCCUAACACAUGCAAGUCGAACGGAAGCACAGUAAGAGCUUGCUCUUACGGGUGGCGAGUGGCGGACGGGUGAGGAAUACAUCGGAAUCUACUUUUUCGUGGGGGAUAACGUAGGGAAACAUACGAUAAUACCGCAUACGACCUACGGGUGAAAGCAGAGGAGCUUCGGACCUUGCGCGAUAGAAUGAGCCGAAGUCGGAUUAGCUAGUUGGGGGGGUAAAGGCCCACCAAGGCGACGAUACGUAGCUGGUCUGAGAGGAUGAUCAGCCACACUGGAACUGAGACACGGUCCAGACUCCUACGGGAGGCAGCAGUGGGGAAUCUUGGACAAUGGGCGCAAGCCUGAUCCAGCCAUACCGCGUGGGUGAAGAAGGCCUUCGGGUUGUAAAGCCCUUUUGUUGGGAAAGAACAGCAGCAUGUUAAUACCCCGCUGUUCUGACGGUACCCAAAGAAUAAGCACCGGCUAACUUCGUG